rnacentral:rRNA from 1 species
GAGAGUUUGAUCCUGGCUCAGGAUGAACGCUGGCGGCGUGCCUAACACAUGCAAGUCGAGCGAGAAACUCAAGAAUGAAACUUCGGUAGAUUUCAUGAGCGGAAAGCGGCGGACGGGUGAGUAACGCGUAGGCAACCUGCCUUUCACAGAGGGAUAGCAUCUGGAAACGGAUAUUAAGACCUCAUAAUGCAUCCAUGCAGCAUUACAAGGAUGCCAAAGAUUUAUCGGUGAAAGAUGGGCCUGCGUCUGAUUAGUUAGUUGGUGGGGUAACGGCUCACCAAGACAAUGAUCAGUAUCCGGACUGAGAGGUCGAACGGACACAUUGGAACUGAGACACGGUCCAAACUCCUACGGGAGGCAGCAGUGGGGAAUAUUGCACAAUGGGGGAAACCCUGAUGCAGCAACGCCGCGUGAGCGAUGAAGGCCCUUGGGUCGUAAAGCUCUGUCCUUGGGGAAGAAAAAUGACGGUACCCAUGGAGAAGCCCCGGCUAACUAC